rnacentral:rRNA from 1 species
UACAACGCACUACCUGUUCACAGUAGUCGUUGCUGUCAACAGCCCACUGCUCACCAUCAACGAAGGGGACUACAUCUUCUACACAGAUUGGGCGUGGACGUCCUUCGUUGCGUUCUCGGUGUCCCACUCAACGAUGCUUCACGUGCGCGCACUCUCCUACCUGUUCUUCACCAGUGCUCCGGCCACCACACCCGAUACCACCGUUCUCACGGACAUCUACCCCUUGAGUUCCAAUGGCACGUAGAUUUCACUUCGAGUUCACUACGACUUCGUUGGGGGACAAGACGCAACGAGCACGCUGCCAUACUUAUUUGCGGUACGCUGGUUCGCCUAUCCUUGCCGCUGUUCAACAUGGUAAACCAGUUGCUUGUAAGGGACCCGCUCGAGGUGGCCUUCAAGUAUCCGAGACCGACUCUGCCCGCGUACAUGACGCCUAGAGUGACUGAGGUAGGGAAGUGCUACAACUCGCCUGUCGCCCUGGGUUCAGGGGCCGGUGCAGUGCUAACGGUACCCAUCGCUGCGGUGGGUGCAAAACUAAACACGUGG